rnacentral:snRNA from 1 species
GGAUGUGAGGGUGAUCUGGCUGCGACAUCUGUCAUUGAUCGCCCGGGGUGAUUUGGCUGAUCUGGCUGGCUAGGCAGGUGUCCCCGUCCUCCCUCAAUGCUCCAAGUGUGUCCCUCCCGAAGCUGCGCAAUCGCUCAAAGAGGAGGACCAUCCCUGAGAGUGGAGGACCAUUGCUCGGUCAAGGGUAUAUGAGUAGCUGCGCUCCCCUGCUAGAACCUCCAAACAAGCUCUUAAAACCAACAGUAAGGCGUGCCUUAGUAUAGACGGUGCUGUUCUGGGAACAAAAAAUAAAUAAAUAUUCUUCUUU